rnacentral:snoRNA from 1 species
CACCUCUCAGGGUCGCAUCUGGAGAGUGUCCAGUCCUCUUCCAGUCUCGACUACAGGAGGGAGGGUCAAGCAGAGGCCUGUCCAUUCCAUUCCUAGCUUGGCCAGUGGCUAGCGAAUGGCAGGCCAUCGGCUACUAAU